UCCUUUUGUUCUGCAACUCUUGUCAGAUCAAGCUGGUUGGGUUCCUCCCUGAAUGCUAUGAAUUUAUCACAUGUUCAGUCUAUCAGGAUGCUUGCAUUGAAAGAUUCUGGUUGCGUCCAUAGGUAAAUAAAUUUCGGUACUUGGUUGAUAAAGGCUGAUCUACAAAACAAUCAAUCCAUACGCCUACUGUGACUCCAGUUGCAAUACUGCAUUUUUCUAUAUCUCUGAAAUUAGCUUCAAGCUUGGUUAUAUCUCUCCACCAAAAGGAGCCUCUCGCAGAGAAUAGAUGUGGGACUUUUUGGACAUAGCAUGACUGCCAGAUCAGAUUUACCCAGGGUAUAUCUUCCUGAUUGUUGAACUUGUGGAGAUGUUUCAUUAAAAGGGCAUCAUUUUGCAGAUAUAAAUCUUUAACACCAGGCCCCCCUUUAUACUUCGGAAUAGUUACAGCCUCCCAAGCUGCCAAAUUAUAGCCCUUGGCACUGAUGUCAGAUCCCCUCCAAAGACAGUUUUUUUCUAUAUUUAUCAAUGGAUGCAAUCACUGCCUAGGGCAACUCCAAAGAGCAUAUGUAAUAAGUAGGCAGAGAUGACAUAAUUGAGUUGAUAAGUUGUUUGUUCCCAAAAAAAAAAGAUAAGUUGUAGCCUCCCCGAAUAAGACAGGUAGAUGGAGCU
rnacentral:lncRNA from 1 species